ensembl:lncRNA
CUCCCUCUGCUGGUGAUUGUGAGUCACCAGAUUGAAAUAAAUAACAGACACCAAUGUUACUUAAAUGUUUGUGUUUUAAUCACCUCCCCUUUGAAAUGUGCUAAAGCCAAAAGUUGCACUCCAUAGACACACCGUCAUCAGACACUGUUGUGUUACGUUUGUUUGGUCAGCUCGGCAGAAACCAGAGGAAACGUUGACAUCUUCAUCGACAACUGGUUCAGUACUGGAUGUGGGUACAGUUUGACGUCAAGUGCAUUUAUUGCAUCGUAAAGCAGACAUAUAAAUGAUAGUAGUGCAAUUACACCCCAUCAUUAUUGAGGAGAUAUCUUGAUAGUCUCAGCUAGUGUCUCGUCGAUGGUGGACUUUGUAUUGCGUACAGAAUUUAGGCGAGAGAAGCGCGAUAGGAAAUUCUAAUAGUAAAAAAUUGUGCUUUAUACGGCGAAAGAAUAAUUCAAUAUUUGUAGAAAUUCCCUUCAAUACAAAUUAAGUAAAUGGAGGAAGCUAAUAUCUAGUAAAUCUUUAGCAAAAGAAGCUGUUGUGCUCUCUGUGUUUCAUCAAGUAGAAGUUAUGUACCUCAAACCUGGUCCUCAAAAAUGAAUGUGGGUGUCGGUGGAUGCAAACAUUAAAGCGUAUGCGUAAUUGCAAAAAGAGAGGAAUAUAUAUAAAAAACAUGCUUUCUGAGGUGUUAAGUAUAGAAGUGUGUACUGUGAUUAAAAUCUGUCUAUUUCCUGUAAGCAAUGUGUUGUUUCUGUGCAAUUUGAUGAUGGUACCUGCAUAUCUAAUAUACCGUAUGUACAAUUAAGCCUUGAUAACAUGUGACUUGUGUAAGUCAAGUGGCUCGUGUGAGGAUGGUCCUAAAAAGCCCUUCGGAUAAAACAGGAAUGCGAUACGUCAUGCACAUACAUUACAGUAUUUACAUAAGUUGUAUGCUAGCUGAAUUCUAGAGUUUUAGAAGGUGAAAGAGGUUGCAUCAUUGUCGAGAAUGUCAGUGAAUUACUUAUAUGUAUUGUGGGUGCUGUAUUAUGUAUAAUGUGAUUGCACUGAUUAUAUGAACAAAAGAGGCAAUUGUUGACUUUGCAACGUUUGGAUGAAGCUUUUAGGAUUUGCAGCAAAUACAUUUAUUUGACUUGUCUUAUGACUAGAAGUUGUACAUAUUACUCAUGUAUGUAGUAGUUAAAGUUAAAUCUGGCCAUUGCUAUGCAGUUGGCAGAGAAAUAGGAAUUUGAUAGGAUUUGAAAGUAUGAACUUGACUAUUCCACUAGCGGCCCCCCUCCCGAUACUCCCUACAUGUUGGGCUGAUAUUCACAUGUUUAGCUGUUUAUGCAUAAUAGUACAUCCACUUUUUCGAUACACUAAUGAGUGGACGAGUAGGUUAUAUUCAAUGUAUUAUUCAUCUUUAAAUAUAUUGUCUUUGGACAUCAUACAGAAAAUAUACUGAUUUAAGUGAUUUUUAUGUUUUUUGCAGUCCACUUGGAAACCUUAAGAACAAGACAUGAUGUGGUUGUUUCAUCUCGCACAAUUUAUCAUAGUCAUUGUGAAGAAGUAAAAUAUAUUAAACAGGCAAUGGCAAAUAUUUCUAUAAAGAAUUAUGUACUGUACAACACCCGGUAAUAAGAGUAAGGGUUCUGCAAAAAAAGGACAGUCAACCGUCAUCAAUGCCAGUUUGUACAAGCCUGAGACUGGAGCAACAAAACUGUCCUUUUUUUGGAUUUGCUUGUGCUUCAAUUAUGUGUCAAGAUUUUUCCAAUUUUUUCAGAAAAAAUAAAUUAUAAAUAACUUAACUAAUUUCUUUGUGGUUUAAAAAAAAGAAAAAAAAAGAUAUUUCAUGACAACCACAGUUUGGGGUUAAUUUUGAAGGUUAUCAAAUUUUCCGCUAAAUAUCUGCAAACAAACCACAGUUAUUGUAAAUAAUCCUUCCAGCAUUUAUACAUUCACAGCUGUGACAAAAUAUGCAUAUAGUCUUGAUGUGCAAGUAUGUGCUUGUCAUGCAUGAGCUUUGCAUCACUGUUGCAUACAGAUAAGUGAACUGUUAUACCGAGAGCAAGAUAUGAAUCGUACAUAGUUGUAUAGAUAGUUGCUGUAAAACAUAUUUGUGAAUAAAUAACACUUUAAAAAGGCUACUGGAUAAACAAGGAAAGGAAGUUAUCAUUUUCCUUGGGAGACCAUGUUGAUUCUGCUGGAAACAAUUGUGCCUUUGAGGAGACAUUUGGUUUAAACUGGAAUGACAGCCGACGGACAGCUGUAGAUACGGAGGACAAACAGACUCGGAUUCUGUCUCUCUGCACUCUUUGGCCAAAAGGGGAAACCGGGUCUCCAGAGAGGAAACCCUGGGAAGCUACUCGUGUUUGUAUCUUGAAUAAUACUUAUAGUGUUGCUAUGCUACAGUUCUCUUUUCUCUCCUCACAUGUAUUUAUCUACAACCACAGCUGAAUUAGCCCAUGUGUGUCUGGGACUGCCUCCUCUGGGUGGGGAGGGAGGAGGAAGGGGUUGGGGGGG